CCUACGGGAGGCAGCAGUAAGGAAUAUUGGUCAAUGGACGGAAGUCUGAACCAGCCAUGCCGCGUGGAGGAUGAAGGUCCUCUGGAUUGUAAACUUCUUUUAUAGGGGGCGAAAAAAGGGAAUUCUUUCUCGUCUGACGGUACCCUAUGAAUAAGCACCGGCUAACUCCGUGCCAGCAGCCGCGGUAAUACGGAGGGUGCAAGCGUUAUCCGGAUUCACUGGGUUUAAAGGGAGCGUAGGCGGGCAUGUAAGUCAGUGGUGAAAGCCCUCAGCUUAACUGAGGAACUGCCAUUGAUACUAUAUGUCUUGAAUGUCGUUGAGGUUUGCGGAAUAGGUCAUGUAGCGGUGAAAUGCUUAGAUAUGACCUAGAACACCUAUUGCGAAGGCAGCAGGCUAAACGAAUAUUGACGCUGAGGCUCGAAAGCGUGGGGAUCAAACAGGAUUAGAUACCCUGGUAGUCCACGCCCUAAACGAUGAUUACUCGACAUUGGCGAUACACAGUCAGUGUCUGAGCGAAAGCAUUAAGUAAUCCACCUGGGAAGUACGACCGCAAGGUUGAAACUCAAAGGAAUUGACGG
rnacentral:rRNA from 1 species